AGGACGAACGCUGGCGGCGUGCUUAACACAUGCAAGUGGAGCGACGAACCAGGGCUUGCCCUGGGGCAGAGCCGCGAACGGGUGAGUAACACGUGGGUUACCUGCCUUGAUGACCGGGACAACCCGAGGAAACUCGGGCUAAUACCGGAUGUGCCCGCAAGGGGAAAGGAAGCUUCGGCCUCCGCAUCAAGAUGGGCCCGCGGCCCAUUAGCUUGUUGGUGAGGUAACGGCUCACCAAGGCUUCGAUGGGUAGCUGGUCUGAGAGGACGAUCAGCCACACUGGGACUGAGAUACGGCCCAGACUCCUACGGGGGGCAGCAAUUAGGAAUCUUGCACAAUGGGCGAAAGCCUGAUGCAGCGACGUCGCGUGGGGGACGAAAUCUUUCGGGAUGUAAACCCCUUUUACCAGGGAAGAAUAAAAUGACGGUACCUGGUGAAUAAGCCCCGGCUAACUACGUGCCAGCAGCCGC
rnacentral:rRNA from 1 species